UGCUGGGCUUGGACAGGCCUGCUGCCUUUUUUCUGCUGCUGCCCCUUUUUUUUUUUUGCUGUUUUGCUUUUUUUUUUUGGGGCUGCUCUUUGCUACUGUUGGGCCUGCUGGGCUUGUGGGUCGGGCGCGGGUUGGUCGGGCCGGAUUCGGGUCGGGUCGGCCCGAUUUAAUUUUUUUUUCCUUUUUUUUUUGUUCCUUCUUCUUCCUCUUUUCUUCUUUCUUUCUUCUUUCUUCUUUCUUCUUCCUUCUUCUUCCUUCUUCUUCUUCUUCAAAGUCUAGCCUCCACCGUUGCUUGCUGUCGCCGACGCCACGGUAGCAGGGGGCUAGGGAGGGCCUAGGUCGGCCGCCGCGAGUUGCAGGUGCAACUUGCGUCAGAGACUGCCAUAGGGACCAAUAUGUAACGGCAGCAAAACUUUUGGGGUUUAAACAUAAUUUUGAGAAAGUUUAGAGGUUAAAAUGUAAUUUUAAGAAAGUUAAGGGGUCAAAAUGUAAUUUCAAAAAGUUUAGGGUUGAAAUGUAAUAAAAAAUUUUAAAAAAUUUCU